rnacentral:rRNA from 1 species
UCCUACGGGGGGCAGCAGUGGGGGAUAUUGCACAAUGGGGGAAACCCUGAUGCAGCGACGCCGCGUGUGGGAAGACGGUCCUCUGGAUUGUAAACCACUGUCCCCAGGGACGAAAAUGACGGUACCUGGGGAGGAAGCUCCGGCUAACUACGUGCCAGCAGCCGCGGUAAUACGUAGGGAGCGAGCGUUGUCCGGAAUUACUGGGUGUAAAGGGAGCGUAGGCGGGAGCGCAAGUCAGAUGUGAAAACUCAGGGCUCAACCCUGAGCCUGCAUUUGAAACUGUGUUUCUUGAGUGCUGGAGAGGC